GAGUAGUGCCACCAAUGAAAUAAGAUGGCUAACACAAGUAGCGUCCAGUCUACUUUCUGAAUCAUUAUGUCUCUUAGUUGUAGGUAUUUUCUUCAGUUGUUGUAUUACUCUUCAUCUUUAUAGGAAUCAAGAUGUCUGCCUUGAUCCUAUAUCAAAGUCCUAUUCACUCUGCUUGUCUUCACUUGAUGCUGGAUCAGAAGUCACAGGAGGAUAGUGCCGGCUCAGAGAUCUACUCAGGUCAACCUCUCAGUGUCCUCGGAGCAUACAGUUUGAGAUCGGCAAGGAAGGGGUUUCUGGAGAUCUGAACUUUAUCUCUCUCUAAGCCGCCAUCUUGACCAGAACCUCCCGUUUCCUCAAGACAAUAUAAAGGCAAUGAGUACCUUUGGGGUGGGGCAGGCAACCCAAACAUUAAGAAGUAUAAAAGGAGUUGACAAAGAGAAAUGGAAGAACAAGAAAUAAAUUUCAUUAAUUUCAGAAGAUUGAUUUUGCU
rnacentral:lncRNA from 1 species